GUGACCACAAAUCAGGUAGGACUACCCGCUGAACUUAAGCAUAUCAAUAAGCGGAGGAAAAGAAACUAAUUAGGAUUCCCCCAGUAACUGCGAGUGAAGCGGGAAAAGCUCACAUUUUAUAUCUGACAGUCUUUGACUGUCCGAGUUGUAAUCUAGAGAGUGUAUCCGCGCUGGACCGUGUACAAGUCUCCUGAAUGGAUCGUCCUAGAGAGUGAGAUCCAGUCUUUGCACUGACUACUUGGCGUUGUCAGGCGUUCUCAGAGAGACGAGUUGUAUCCGCAUGCACCUCAAAAUGGGUGGUAAUUCCUGCUGAAGGCUGAAUAUUGGCGGAAAAUCGAUCAGCGACGA
rnacentral:rRNA from 1 species